CUCUCUCUCUCUCUCUCUCUCUCUCUCCUUGCAGAUAGAUUAUUACCUUUAUUUCUCUCUCCUUGAAAUAGAUACAUAGCUAUGUGUCUUGCAUAUAGAUAAUUCCCCGUCUCUCUCGUUAAUGGAAAUUUUAUUCGAAUAAAAUAGCUGAAGUACUCUCUCUCUCUAUCUCACUACCUGUGCCUACAACUGGUUCCCCUUUUCUUGACAAUUUAAUCUAAAGAAAAAUAACAACUCCCUUUCUUAGAUUCUCUUCUUUGUUUUUUUUCAUCUUUUUUUACUUUUUCUACUGUAUACUUCUCUUGAGAGACUUCUCUCUCUCUCUCUCUCUCUCUCAUGCCUGCCUCUGUGAGGUAUUGUGCAACUUUUCCUAUGAAAUAUCCCCCCACUCUGUUCUUUCUCUCUCUACUUUUGCUGUGAAAUAUUCCCCCCUCCCCCUCCCUCUCUCCCCUCUCUCUCUUAUUCAUAUGCUUUUCAUGCUUUUAGUUUUUGUUUGGAGUGGACUCCUGCAAGAGUACACUAUAUCAGUAGUAGAGUACACUAGAUACUCCCUCAGACAAAGGACCUAGUUUUUUAUGUGAAUUUCUUUUAAAAUGUUAAGUUGGGUCUCUUCUAUUAACUUAUUGAUGAGUGUACAGAGACUAAAAGAUCCCAAAAUCACCUUAUGGAGAACCUAUUCACUAACAAAAAUCUUUUUGAAAUUCCUUUUGCCAAUAAGUCGGACUUAAACCUUGCUUCCCACUAACCAGAUUGGUAUUUUGCCAUCAGAAAUUUCCGAUCCACUUUAAAAUCACCAAAUGAGUAUUUUGUAAAAAAAAAAAAAAAACAAAAAAACAAUCGAGUUCUUAAAUAUUCCGAUCUGACUGUCGAAAUAUUGGCCGCUCUCUCACUCAAUUAAGCAAUUCCUUCCCAAAAUUUGGGGUCCUUAAAACUAUUUUAGAUAGCGUUUUAUGCUAGAGGUCAAUGUCCAAUAUGUUCUUGAGGGAGCAAAUAACUACCCCUCAGUUGUUUGGCUUUUGUCAAUCUUCCCCCUCUUAAUUACUUUCUAAUUUGAAUAUUGCUUAUGCAGCUUAGGGGUGGCGAUGGACCCGGACCUGACCCGGGACCCGGGUCCUUGUAUGGAUCCAGGAAUUGGACCUAGUGGAUUGGUUCAAGGUCCAAAUAUUGGACCUGAACACUAUUGGGGUCCAGGUCCAGCGGGACCUGACCUAUUGCCACCCCUACUUAUGCAUGGGUUGGAUCCAAACGAGAAGUUGAUUGGGCUUGGGUCUCGCAAUUUCUUUCUUUGCCCAAGGGAUACUGUUAAUAAUAAUACCACUACCUGCUCAAACCAGGCUGAGAAACCUAAUAGCAAGUCAUGGCUUAGGUUCAUGGAUUUCUUAUUGUGAUUUUCCAUGAUAUUUUUUGUUUUUUCUUCAAUAUUUUAGAUGGGUCUUGUAUAUAUUCAGGGAUAUAUGGUAUUUGUGUAAGCUUUAUUUGAUAAAAGCAUGUAAGAACAAAGCACUUGUGCUUAAUCAAAUCCCAAAUCCUUGGUUUUAAUGA